GAUGAAGAACGCAGCGAAAUGCGAUAAGUAGUGUGAAUUGCAGAAUUCAGUGAAUCAUCGAAUCUUUGAACGCACAUUGCGCCUCCUGGCAUUCCGGGAGGCAUGCCUGUUCGAGCGUCAUUAAAAUCACUCAAGCUUAGGUUUGCCUAUUGCUUGGUCUUGAAGAUGGAAGCUAAGUAAUUAGAAUCCUCUUCGAAAUCCAAUGGCGAAGACCCUUGCUCUCCCAAGUGUAGUAAUAACUUAUUCACUGAAGGAAGCGAGUAAUCUUCUGUCGUAACCCCCAUAUUUUCUAUGAUUGACCUCGGAUCAGGUAGGGAUACCCGCUGAACUUAAGCAUAUCAAUAAGCGGAGGA
rnacentral:misc_RNA from 1 species